rnacentral:rRNA from 1 species
GACGAACGCUGGCGGCGUGCCUAAUACAUGCAAGUCGAACGCACAGUUUAUACCUUAGCUUGCUACACCAUAGACUGUGAGUUGCGAACGACUGGGUAACGCGUAGCUAACCUGCCUGGUAGCCGUGGAUAACUAUUGGAAACGCUAGCUAAUGCCGUAUAAUAUUGAUUAUUGCAUGAUAAUUGAUGGUACGAUGCUAUUGCAUCACUUACAGAUUGACCUGCGUUGUAUUAGCUAGUAUGUGGGGUAACGGCUCACCUAGGCGAAGAUACAUAGCCGAACUGAGAGGGUGGUUGGCCACACUGGGACUGAGACACGGCACAGACUCCCACGGGAGGCAGCAGUAGGGAAACUUCGGGAAUGGGCGAAAGUCUGACCGAGCAACGCCGCAGGAGUGAAGAAGGUUUUCGGAUCGGAAAGCUCUGUUGUAAGGGAAGAACCGGUGUGAGAGUGGAAAGUUCACAUUGUGACGGUACCUGACCAGAAAGCGACGGCUAACUACGUG